AACGAACGCUGGCGGCAUGCCUAACACAUGCAAGUCGAACGAGACCUUCGGGUCUAGUGGCGCACGGGUGCGUAACGCGUGGGAACCUGCCCUUAGGUUCGGAAUAACUCCCCGAAAGGGGUGCUAAUACCGGAUAAUGUCUUCGGACCAAAGAUUUAUCGCCUUUGGAUGGGCCCGCGUUGGAUUAGCUAGUUGGUAGGGUAAAAGCCUACCAAGGCGACGAUCCAUAGCUAGUCUGAGAGGAUGAUCAGCCACACUGGGACUGAGACACGGCCCAGACUCCUACGGGAGGCAGCAGUGGGGAAUAUUGGACAAUGGGCGAAAGCCUGAUCCAGCAAUGCCGCGUGAGUGAUGAAGGCCUUAGGGUUGUAAAGCUCCUUUACCCGGGAUGAUAAUGACAGUACCGGGAGAAUAAGCUCCGGCUAACUCCGUG
rnacentral:rRNA from 1 species